UACGUAGGGUGCGAGCGUUGUUCGGAAUUACUGGGCGUAAAGGGCUCGUAGGUGGCCAACUAAGUCAGACGUGAAAUCCCUCGGCUUAACCGGGGAACUGCGUCUGAUACUGGAUGGCUUGAGAUUGGGAGAGGGAUGCGGAAUUCCAGGUGUAGCGGUGAAAUGCGUAGAUAUCUGGAGGAACACCGGUGGCGAAGGCGGCAUCCUGGACCAACACUGACACUGAGGAGCGAAAGCCAGGGGAGCAAACGGG
rnacentral:rRNA from 1 species